AUUGAACGCUGGCGGCAUGCCUAACACAUGCAAGUCGAACGAGUGGCGGACGGGUGAGUAAUAUAUGGGAACGUGCCUAAUAGAGGGGGAUAACUACUCGAAAACGUGGCUAAUACCGCAUACGAUUGGAUCGGCCGAUAUGGGAUUAGCUAGUUGGUGGGGUAAAGGCUCACCAAGGCGACGAUCCGUAGCUGGUCUGAGAGGACGACCAGCCACACUGGGACUGAGACACGGCCCAGACUCCUACGUGAGGCAGCAGUGGGGAAUUGUGGACAAUGGGCGAAACCCUGACCCAGCCAUGCCGCGUGAAUGAAGAAGGCCUUCGGGUUGUAAAGUUCUUUUGGCAGAGAAGCGGUAUCUGCAGAAUAAGCACCGGCUAACUACGUGCCAGCAGCCGCGGUAAUUC
rnacentral:rRNA from 1 species